GGUCCUGAAUCACGUCUCUCGUACGAUACCGUCAUACAAAUUAUGUUAUAUGGUUGUUUAGUAAUUAUGUCCCGAAAGUUGUGUACAUGUGAACUCCUUGGUAAUUAGUUUGUUGUUUUUCUCUUCCUGAAUGGCAGUCAUUAAUUAAGGCCAAGGAAUGGCUUGUGGAUCUUGUUGAGAUAAGUUUGGAAACCGGCAAGAUGAGUGAAGCGGAACUGACUCAAUCUGCCUCUAACAAAGGUGGUCCGGUUACUCCAGUCUCACGGACUAAUCUUGCUACCUUCAAAGUGGUUACUAAUCGUACAUUAUUCCGCAAGGCAAAAGAAUGGAUGGUAUAUUUUACAGAGGAAUGUUUGAAAGCUUGGCCAGACGCGAGUCAAGAUGAUCUACAUCAACUUUUCUGCAAGGAUGGUGAUCCUGAUGGCACAGUCUCCCGUACAGUGCCUGGUAGCUUGACUAGUCUUGCUGAAAAUUCAGCGAUUGCAUAAGUCAAAAAGCCAGAUGCUCUAUUCUCGCCAACCAUGCUUGGUACCUUGACAAAUCCUGCUGAAGACUCUGGGAUGUCAUCAGUGACAAAUGCAGGUGCAUAUAAACCUUUGAGUGAAGAAUAUUUUUCCAGUUCAAGGAAGAAUCCAAGGAUGGAACUGGCAACUAUUAGACAAGAUUUUGAUCC